UUAAAAGUUUAAAAGUCUGAGAGCAUGAAAGAAGCAGCAGAAGAAAAAAGAAAAGGGAGCGAGACAGAGAGAAUUACCCACAAAUUCUCUUUUCUACAGAAGAACAGAGCCAAGGAGAGGGUCAGAAAUACAGACAACACCUGCAAAACAGAAACAUGAAAACUCAGCUACAUAAGGAGAAAUAGAGACCGUGGCUCAUGCCGGGAAUCCCGGCACUUUGGGAGGCUGAGGGGCCAGCGAAAGACACGCGCUCGACUUAGCAAGAUAGGGGCUAGACAAACCACGGUGAGGAAAACGGCACCUACAAGUCUUCCCAGACAGCUGUCUGCAGUUGAAAUUGAACGGCUUGCAGUAAACUUCUUGGAGGAGAAUUGGCAUUGCAAGGGUGUUACUGGAGACCUCGGCAAGAAAGUGAAUGCAAAGACAGAUGACCCAGGAACCCGUGAUGGAUAAGGCUCUUGACAGCCAGGACGUGGAAUUACAGGGGGUCUCUUUGAGAGACAAAAUAAAAAAAAUAGCCCAGUAAUCUUCCUUCCACCCUUUUCUCCCAGAUCUAAUUACAGAUGUCUUGACAUUCCUUCUGCAUAGAAUUUCCUUAAAAGAUUUGCCAAGAAGAAACAUUUGGAAACUGUGUUUUAGGUAUAAUCCGUCUGGGAGUCACUCUUGCUCGCUUUGUCGUUAGAUGACAAAACGCUUAAUUACAGCGAGCACAAUGUAUACCACAUUUGGAAAACUGGAUUCUUGACCUAAAUAAUGUACCCCAUACUGACAAUGGCCUUUUGGCAAAACUUGUGUCUCUGAUCUCACAUUAAUUACUACACAAAUAUACUUAUUGUGGGCACCGAGUUUAUGGGAUGGAGUCCUCUUGACACAUGUUCACCAUAAAAACACAUUUUUUUCCCUUCCCCUGACCCUAAGGAAAAGAAAAAAAAAAAGAUUAACAUUUUUCAAGAUGCUGUUUUAGUGACAUGAAAACUGUCUGUUGAGUGUUCACUCGGCUUUUGUUCUUUUUCUUUUCUCCUUUUAUUAAAAAGCCUUUCAAACCAAGCAUUCCUGGUUUGUGAUUCUUUACUUUUGCUUUUAUGCUGAGGGAGAGACAGAUUAGAUUAGAUUAAAGACCAAGGGACACCUCGUGAAAUACAUUCCAUCUAGAGGCAAUUUGGUUGAGAGGGCCAAUUGUGUGUGUGUGUGCCUGUGUGCGUGCAGGCGUGCGUGUUUCUCCUUGUGGCAUACUGGUGGUCUUUUUACAGAUACAGAGUUCUGGUUUUUGGAAAUGCGUUUAUUCCUUUAGCCUUUUUCCCUUCAGAAGCCUGCAGCCUUUGAUUGUGGCCUGACUUUUAGGGGUCUGCGGCAUUUUGGGGGGUAGUAAAUCUUAUUAACUCUUCCCUUUAGUGUCUCGCCAUUCUCAAAAACUUUUACAAAAAGCAGCAACACCGCCCUCACCAAAGACAGAUGAAAGGAGCGGUUUCAAAGCCCCUCUCCCCCCUGCCCCAGCAGGCCCCCAGAUUGGUCUGAUGAUGUCACAGGGGUAACCACGGCAACAGGCCGUGACAUCAUGACAAAAGGAGGACUGACCUUGGCCUGGAAUUCAAAGCAAAAGCAGCUCAUAAACUUCUAAAGCAAGCAGGAGAUAAAUAUCCUUAGUCAUAAAAGAACAAACGAAGUUUGGGGUGGGGGGACGGGGGAAAAAAAAGCAGAACUUUUUUUUUUUUUUGAAAUACAGUAAAAUGUGUUGCCAAGUUUUUCAGGAAGUGCUAGUGGCCAUUUUGAUGAUGUGAACUAGAUUUUAAAACAGAAAGAGGAAAAAUGAAUGUGGUGGACAAGGGCUGCUGACAAUAUUAGAUAGAAUCAGGUGAAACUUUUCCCUAAACUAUAAUUUGUAAAAUGGGGGAGAGGGGAUGAGCCAGACCAAAGCAAAACAACAGACAAAUUCAUUUCUGAGUGAGAGAAGGAAUUACAUGGCAGGAGAAAGGGAGUAAUCCAGGAACUGUAUUUAUCAAAAAGAGAAUGUGCUCAAGGCAACAUAGUACUCCGGAUGGGAUCCUGGGCCAGAAAAAUGGAUGAAAUCUGAAGAAGAUCUAGAGUUUAGUUCAGAGUAAUGAACCAAUGUUGGU
rnacentral:lncRNA from 1 species